CGAAAAUCGGACCGCUACCGGCGCUAGGAUCCGGGUCGACUUAAGGCCGCCGGGACCCGUAGCAAGCCUGACAUGAAACCUGUAAACCUGUUUAAUCCCAUACAUGAUCAACAAUCAUACAUAAAAAUUUAAAACCUUUCUUUCAAUUAUCCAACUCAACCUGAACAUGUACUGUGCAUAGUCAUAAUCAUAAUCAUGAUCCCUCUGUGGGAUCUCAACAAUGCCCCAAUGGGCAAUACAACAAGAGAUGAGUUGGCUAACAUCUGUAUCAUCAAAUAACUAAGAUCAUGCAUCAACAAGGGAUUACAAUACUCAUAGGGUCAAGCACAUCUAUAACCUCAAUAUACCUCAUUACAUAACAUGCUGUAAUCUCUUACAUUACAUCAGAGUACAAUUGUCAUGUCCACCAUCUAACUAUUACAUACACAUACUUCAAAACUCUGGCUAACCUCCUGGUCUCCCCUGUACCUGCACAUCUGAGGUUAGGGGAGAGGGGUGAGCUACAAAGCCCAGUGAGCAGAAUAAUGAAAUCAUAUAUUAAAUUUUCAUGCCAUUAUGAAAUGCAACACAUCACAGUUAAUCACAUCUCGGAUGGUAUUGUCACCAAUAGUCCUCUACAUAGUCCAACUAUGCCGGGACGUAGAAUGGGUACAACCGGUCUUUCCCUUAUCAUAACAUAUCAUAACAUACCAAUGUGCCAGGGACGUAGAAUGGGUACAACCUGGACUUUCUCUUACAUCGUGCCAGGGACGUAGAAUGGGUACAACCUGGACUUCCAUACCAUAUCAUGCCGUAACAUCAUCAUGCCAUAUGAGGACUAAAGGAUCAUCCAAUAACCAAUCCACAUCAACAUCAUAAAUGCAAUGCAACAUAUUCGUGAAUACUAAUGCAAACAACCUACUAUAUCUCAUGGCAUUCGUGAUGCAUGGAUCAUGCUCGAAAUUCAUAUUUCAAUUAUUU
rnacentral:lncRNA from 1 species